UUUUGGACAAUGGGGGCAACCCUGAUCCAGCCAUUCCGCGUGAGUGAAGAAGGCCUUCGGGUUGUAAAGCUCUUUCGCGAGCCAAGAAAACUUAUGAUCGAAUAAAUCAUGAGGUUUACGGUACCUUGAUAAGAAGCACCGGCUAACUACGUGCCAGCAGCCGCGGUAAUACGUAGGGUGCGAGCGUUAAUCGGAAUUACUGGGCGUAAAGCGUGCGCAGGCGGUUUUGUAAGUCGGAUGUGAAAUCCCCGGGCUCAACCUGGGAACUGCGUUCGAAACUGCAAGGCUAGAGUGUGUCAGAGGGGGGUAGAAUUCCACGUGUAGCAGUGAAAUGCGUAGAGAUGUGGAGGAAUACCAAUGGCGAAGGCAGCCCCCUGGGAUAACACUGACGCUCAUGCACGAA
rnacentral:rRNA from 1 species